rnacentral:lncRNA from 1 species
AUGGAGGUGGUACCAGCCGAGGUGAAUAGCUUGCUUCCAGAGGAGAUAAUGGACACUGGGAUAACAUUAGUGGAUGAGGAUAGUAUUGAGGCUGUUAUUGUUUCAUCUCCAAUUCCCAUGGAGACAGAACUGGAAGAAAUUGUCAACAUAAACUCUACUGGUGAUUCUGCAGCCACGCCCAUUUCCACGGAGCCCAUCACAGUGUACAGUAACCACAUUAACCAAGUUGCAGUGAAUACCACAGUUACUAAAGCAGAUUCUAAUAGAAUGAAACCAGCUUUUCCAAGUGGCCUUCAAAAACUUGGUGCUCAGACUCCUGUGACUAUAUCAGCCAAUCAGAUCAUUUUAAACAAAGUAUCACAGACAUCUGAUCUUAAACUUGGCAAUCAGACCCUUAAGCCAGAUGGACAGAAGUUAAUUUUAACAACUUUGGGCAAGUCUGGUUCACCAAUUGUUUUAGCACUACCCCAUAGCCAACUACCCCAGGCUCAGAAAGUUACAACUCAGGCUCAGUCAGGAGAUACUAAAUUGCCACCGCAGCAGAUUAAAGUAGUUACCAUUGGAGGGAGGCCAGAGCCGAAACCGGUCAUUGGUGUCUCAGCACUGACCCCAGGAAGCCAGCUGAUUAAUCCUACAGCCCAGCCCUCUGUGGUUCAGACCCAACAGUUAAAAACAGUACAGAUUGCUAAGAAGCCUCGAACACCAACCUCUGGCCCAGUAAUCACGAAGCUGAUCUUUGCAAAACCCAUAAAUAGUAAAGCAGUUACAGGACAGACAACUCAAGUGUCACCACCAGUCAUUGCAGGUUAUACUUCUUUACAGUUCAUUAAGCCAUAUAUUUAUCUUUUAGGUUUCCAGAAGGCUGUUCUGCUCCGAUAAAUUGUUUUAGUGCAUGUAAAGCUUAUGAUAAGCCAGACUAGUUUAAGAAUUGUCAUACUUAAUAAAUGAGUUCUUCAAGGAAAAUGCCUCAUCUCAAAAUUAGUCCAUUACUUUAGUCUUUUUAGGUUUUUGUAGAAAUUUUCCAUGGAAUUAGCAAAUUGUUCAUGAUUUCAGUAAUACUAGUUAUACUGAGAUAGUGUUUACUGCAUGCUGUUCUUAGCUUUUUACCUAUAAAUGACUCAUCAAGCUCCUUGACAGGCCCAUGAGGGACUACAACACCCCUAUUUUGCCAUGUGGUAAGGGAGGCGCUUUGCUAGUAAGUGGCCAAGCUGGGCUUGGAACUUAAGCAGUUUGUCUCUGGAGCACUUGCACUAGGUCUAAUAUAUUUAGAUUCACGCACGUGAGUGCUUGCUUCAGCAGCACAUAUACUAAAAUUGGAACGAUAGAUUCAUGCAUGUGGGAGUAUGGUAUUACAUGGUUUCUGUUUGAAUUUUUGGUUUCUGUAUUUUAAUACACUAUACAGUUCUGUAGGAACUCUUGUCCAAUGAUAGGAAUUACUUAAGUGAUAGUAGAAUAUUACUUUUACUAGCACACUCUUUAAUGUGGCCUAAUUGUCUUUUAUUAUAUACUUUAAAAUUUGGCAUUACCGGUAACUAUAUCAUCUCUGAAAGUUGGACUUUAGGAGUUCCAUUCUCUUUAUUCAUCAGCUUUGCUGCCUUUAUACUCCAAAUCUAGCAAUAUUUUGACUUUGAAAUCUCGGAUCCAUUAAUUCAUCCACCACUUCCUGUACUCAGCAUGGAUCCGUGGCCCAUCAUUUUUGCUCCCCUGAAAAACACCGUUGGUUUUCUUUUCUGUCUUUCUGCAAUGGCUUGUUUGAGGCCAGUUCUCUUGCUCU